UUAAGCGACUAAGCGUACACGGUGGAUGCCCUGGCAGUCAGAGGCGAUGAAGGACGUGCUAAUCUGCGAUAAGCGUCGGUAAGGUGAUAUGAACCGUUAUAACCGGCGAUUUCCGAAUGGGGAAACCCAGUGUGAUUCGUCACACUAUCAUUAACUGAAUCCAUAGGUUAAUGAGGCGAACCGGGGGAACUGAAACAUCUAAGUACCCCGAGGAAAAGAAAUCAACCGAGAUUCCCCCAGUAGCGGCGAGCGAACGGGGAGCAGCCCAGAGCCUGAAUCAGUGUGUGUGUUAGUGGAAGCGUCUGGAAAGGCGUGCGAUACAGGGUGACAGCCCCGUACACAAAAAUACACAUACUGUGAGCUCGAUGAGUAGGGCGGGACACGUGGUAUCCUGUCUGAAUAUGGGGGGACCAUCCUCCAAGGCUAAAUACUCCUGACUGACCGAUAGUGAACCAGUACCGUGAGGGAAAGGCGAAAAGAACCCCGGCGAGGGGAGUGAAAAAGAACCUGAAACCGUGUACGUACAAGCAGUGGGAGCACGCUUAGGCGUGUGACUGCGUACCUUUUGUAUAAUGGGUCAGCGACUUAUAUUCUGUAGCAAGGUUAACCGAAUAGGGGAGCCGAAGGGAAACCGAGUCUUAACUGGGCGUUAAGUUGCAGGGUAUAGACCCGAAACCCGGUGAUCUAGCCAUGGGCAGGUUGAAGGUUGGGUAACACUAACUGGAGGACCGAACCGACUAAUGUUGAAAAAUUAGCGGAUGACUUGUGGCUGGGGGUGAAAGGCCAAUCAAACCGGGAGAUAGCUGGUUCUCCCCCGAAAGCUAUUUAGGUAGCGCCUCGUGAAUUCAUCUCCGGGGGUAGAGCACUGUUUCGGCAAGGGGGUCAUCCCGACUUACCAACCCGAUGCAAACUGCGAAUACCGGAGAAUGUUAUCACGGGAGACACACGGCGGGUGCUAACGUCCGUCGUGAAGAGGGAAACAACCCAGACCGCCAGCUAAGGUCCCAAAGUCAUGGUUAAGUGGGAAACGAUGUGGGAAGGCCCAGACAGCCAGGAUGUUGGCUUAGAAGCAGCCAUCAUUUAAAGAAAGCGUAAUAGCUCACUGGUCGAGUCGGCCUGCGCGGAAGAUGUAACGGGGCUAAACCAUGCACCGAAGCUGCGGCAGCGACGCUUAUGCGUUGUUGGGUAGGGGAGCGUUCUGUAAGCCUGUGAAGGUGUGCUGUGAGGUAUGCUGGAGGUAUCAGAAGUGCGAAUGCUGACAUAAGUAACGAUAAAGCGGGUGAAAAGCCCGCUCGCCGGAAGACCAAGGGUUCCUGUCCAACGUUAAUCGGGGCAGGGUGAGUCGACCCCUAAGGCGAGGCCGAAAGGCGUAGUCGAUGGGAAACAGGUUAAUAUUCCUGUACUUGGUGUUACUGCGAAGGGGGGACGGAGAAGGCUAUGUUGGCCGGGCGACGGUUGUCCCGGUUUAAGCGUGUAGGCUGGUUUUCCAGGCAAAUCCGGAAAAUCAAGGCCGAGGCGUGAUGACGAGGCACUACGGUGCUGAAGCAACAAAUGCCCUGCUUCCAGGAAAAGCCUCUAAGCAUCAGGUAACAUCAAAUCGUACCCCAAACCGACACAGGUGGUCAGGUAGAGAAUACCAAGGCGCUUGAGAGAACUCGGGUGAAGGAACUAGGCAAAAUGGUGCCGUAACUUCGGGAGAAGGCACGCUGAUACGUAGGUGAAGCGACUUGCUCGUGGAGCUGAAAUCAGUCGAAGAUACCAGCUGGCUGCAACUGUUUAUUAAAAACACAGCACUGUGCAAACACGAAAGUGGACGUAUACGGUGUGACGCCUGCCCGGUGCCGGAAGGUUAAUUGAUGGGGUUAGCGCAAGCGAAGCUCUUGAUCGAAGCCCCGGUAAACGGCGGCCGUAACUAUAACGGUCCUAAGGUAGCGAAAUUCCUUGUCGGGUAAGUUCCGACCUGCACGAAUGGCGUAAUGAUGGCCAGGCUGUCUCCGCCCGAGACUCAGUGAAAUUGAACUCGCUGUGAAGAUGCAGUGUACCCGCGGCAAGACGGAAAGACCCCGUGAACCUUUACUAUAGCUUGACACUGAACAUUGAGCCUUGAUGUGUAGGAUAGGUGGGAGGCUUUGAAGUGUGGACGCCAGUCUGCAUGGAGCCGACCUUGAAAUACCACCCUUUAAUGUUUGAUGUUCUAACGUGGACCCGUGAUCCGGGUUGCGGACAGUGUCUGGUGGGUAGUUUGACUGGGGCGGUCUCCUCCUAAAGAGUAACGGAGGAGCACGAAGGUUGGCUAAUCCUGGUCGGACAUCAGGAGGUUAGUGCAAUGGCAUAAGCCAGCUUGACUGCGAGCGUGACGGCGCGAGCAGGUGCGAAAGCAGGUCAUAGUGAUCCGGUGGUUCUGAAUGGAAGGGCCAUCGCUCAACGGAUAAAAGGUACUCCGGGGAUAACAGGCUGAUACCGCCCAAGAGUUCAUAUCGACGGCGGUGUUUGGCACCUCGAUGUCGGCUCAUCACAUCCUGGGGCUGAAGUAGGUCCCAAGGGUAUGGCUGUUCGCCAUUUAAAGUGGUACGCGAGCUGGGUUUAGAACGUCGUGAGACAGUUCGGUCCCUAUCUGCCGUGGGCGCUGGAGAACUGAGGGGGCUGCUCCUAGUACGAGAGGACCGGAGUGGACGCAUCACUGGUGUUCGGGUUGUCAUGCCAAUGGCACUGCCCGGUAGCUAAAUGCGGAAGAGAUAAGUGCUGAAAGCAUCUAAGCACGAAACUUGCCCCGAGAUGAGUUCUCCCUGACCCUUUAAGGGUCCUGAAGGAACGUUGAAGACGACGACGUUGAUAGGCCGGGUGUGUAAGCGCAGCGAUGCGUUGAGCUAACCGGUACUAAUGAACCGUGAGGCUUAACCUU
rnacentral:rRNA from 1 species